rnacentral:rRNA from 1 species
ACGAACGCUGGCGGCAGGCCUAACCCCUGCAAGUCGAGCGAGGACUUCGGUCCUAGCGGCGGACGGGUGAGUAACGCGUGGGAACGUGCCCUUUGCUUCGGAAUAGCCCUGGGAAACUGGGAGUAAUACCGGAUGAGCCCUUUGGGGGAAAGAUUUAUCGGCGAAGGAUCGGCCCGCGUUGGAUUAGGUAGUUGGUGGGGUAAUGGCCUACCAAGCCGACGAUCCAUAGCUGGUUUGAGAGGAUGAUCAGCCACACUGGGACUGAGACACGGCCCAGACUCCUACGGGAGGCAGCAGUGGGGAAUCUUAGACAAUGGGGGAAACCCUGAUCGAGCCAUGCCGCGUGAGCGAUGAAGGCCUUAGGGUUGUAAAGCUCUUUCAGCUGGGAAGAUAAUGACGGUACCAGCAGAAGAAGCCCCGGCUAACUCCGUG